UGUUUAGAUCUGCCUCUUGCGAAACCGAAGAAAAUCAAAAACUUCUUCUUUCAUCUUCAGCACUUCAUCAGUUCAUCUUUGUCACUUCAUCAAUUCAUUCUUCAUUCUCUCAGUCUCUUAGGAGUUAGGACCCUUAAAGAGCGAAUUUCUGAAAGAUGGAUUCUCAUAACAAGUCGACAACAAUGAGAAAGACGGUGAGGAACUUGGAGUACGGCAGUUCAAGCAGCGGAGCGUCGGUUCGUCGUCACAAUUGCUGUUCGGUUGAAAACCUAGAUCUAGGUGGAUUUGGGCUUGGUUACUAUAAUUUGAUGUGGGCUUGAUGUUUUAUUAUAGCCUCUUAAUUUUGUUAAUUGGGCUUGAUGUUUUAUUAUAGCCUCUUAAUUAUGUUAAUUGCGCUGUUGUUAUCGAGA